rnacentral:rRNA from 1 species
AUUGAACGCUGGCGGCAUGCCUUACACAUGCAAGUCGAACGGUAACGCGGGGCAACCUGGCGACGAGUGGCGAACGGGUGAGUAAUGUAUCGGAACGUGCCCAAUUGUGGGGGAUAACUGCUCGAAAGAGCAGCUAAUACCGCAUACGACCUGAGGGUGAAAGCGGGGGAUCGCAAGACCUCGCGCAAUUGGAGCGGCCGAUAUCAGAUUAGGUAGUUGGUGGGGUAAAGGCUCACCAAGCCGACGAUCUGUAGCUGGUCUGAGAGGACGACCAGCCACACUGGGACUGAGACACGGCCCAGACUCCUACGGGAGGCAGCAGUGGGGAAUUUUGGACAAUGGACGCAAGUCUGAUCCAGCCAUGCCGCGUGCGGGAAGAAGGCCUUCGGGUUGUAAACCGCUUUUGUCAGGGAAGAAACGCUCUGGGUUAAUACCUCGGGGUAAUGACGGUACCUGAAGAAUAAGCACCGGCUAACUACGUGCCAGCCGCCGCGGUAA